rfam:Ogataea parapolymorpha DL-1 chromosome I, whole genome shotgun sequence.
GGGAGAUUAGUGUAGUGGUUAUCAUUCCUGCCUUCCAAGCAGGCGACAUGGGUUCGAAUCCCGUAUCUCUCA